GACCAGGUGGCUGGACCUGAAUCAAGUUGGAAUCUUCUUCUUUUGCUUUUUUUUGUUUGUUUGUUUUUGGUUUGAAUCUUCUAUGCCCCAUUUUGGCUUCACAGUCAAGGAGGUGUGACCAUCAAGCCAGCUAAGAAUUGUCCUUGAGAGAAAGAAAGUAGCAUUUCGUCUAAGAACUUCACAUUUUCAAAAGAUGUCUGUGUGCUUCCUCCACACCUUGCUCAUCAUCGUCACCCAGGAAGUGGCUGAUGGAGGAUUAGUUCUCUCUGAGAUGACCAGACUCGGUGACCAAACUACCUUACCAAACUGUGGACAAGGAAAGGGUGGUGCAGGAACUGAGAAAAGACCUCUAGUGUUUUUACCUGCUCACAUGUCUGAGUUCAUCACUGACACCAUCAGUUUCAGCUCAAGGGACUCCUGGACCCACAGCUACAGCCAUGUUGCCUCUCAACUGGGGUAGCGACGCUUGCUGCUGGGUUGUGGUGAUCGUAUCCCUUCCCCCUCCUGCCUGGAGAACAGUGACCAAGCAUCACAUCACUGCCAGGGCAACUUACAUUCCAGUCUACUUUUCCUCAACCGCUCAGCCUAUUAGUAUUCAUGAACAGGUAGGAGACUAGGGGACACUAGUUUCCUCCCUGCAAUGCCCCUCUCCCUGUCUUUGCUUACUCCAGGCAAGAGCAUUCUUUCUCAAAUCCUAAGGAGUCCUUCUAUAUCCUGAACACGGGCCUAUGAGGCCCUUAUUUUUUUUCUUCCAGAAAGCCAUGGCUCUGUUAACACCUGAUCUCCAUUGAUGGAAGCUACUUGCCAACUAAUAAGUGAGCUUAUCGGGUAUUCAUGGAAGAUGCGGGAGGACAUGAUACUCCAGGUCAGAAACAAAGGACUCGUAUCACUCACAGCACAUCAGGAAAUAUGAGCCUCAUGCUUGCAAGGCUGUACUUUGCCCCCCAGCCCACCAAGUCCCAUGGGGGUGAUUUUUGUCACAGCUGAGAAACACUGAGCUUAGGGACCCUGAAUCUUUUGUAAUGAGCUACAAGAAAUUCAGAACAAUCUUUGCCCUAGAAGAAGGCGUUACCUUCUAAGGACAAGCCACGAGUGUAACACUAAGGAGGUUGGACUGCAUCCCUAGAGUAAGAAAACCUUGAAGGUUUAUAGAUGGAGUUAUGGCACCACCACUCUGCAUAGGCUGAGCAAUAUUUAUUGACUAUUGUAAAAUAAAUAUAAGAAAGGAUUGGAUUUAAUGACA
rnacentral:lncRNA from 1 species